rnacentral:rRNA from 1 species
AAGAAACUAACAAGGAUUCCCCUAGUAACUGCGAGUGAACCGGGAAAAGCUCAAAUUUUGAAUCUGGCGGUCUUUCGGCCGUCCGAGUUGUAAUCUAGAGAAGCGUCUUCCGCGCUGGACCGUGUAUAAGUUUCCUGGAAUGGAACGUCGUAGAGGGUGAGAAUCCCGUCUUUGACACGGACUGCCAGGGCUAUGCGAUGCGCUCUCGACGAGUCGAGUUGUUUGGGAAUGCAGCUCAAAUAGGGUGGUAAAUUCCAUCUAAAGCUAAAUACAGGCGAGAGACCGAUAGCGAACAAGUACCGUGAGGGAAAGAUGAAAAGAACUUUGGAAAGAGAGUUAAACAGUACGUGAAAUUGCUGAAAGGGAAACGCUUGAUGUCAGUCGCGUCGGCCGGGGAUCAGCCUUGCUCUUUUGCUCGGCGUACUUCCUGGUCGACGGGUCAGCAUCGGUUUUGACCGUCGGAAAAUGGCUCGAGGAAUGUGGCACUCUUCGGGGUGUGUUAUAGACUCGGGUCGAAUGCGACGGUCGGGACCGAGGAACUCAGCACGACCCUUCGGGGUUCGGGGCUUCGGCUCACGUUUGACGUGCUUAGGAUGCUGGCAUAAUGGCCUUAAGCGACCCGUCU